GAUGGACGCUGGCGGCGUGCCUAAUACAUGCAAGUCGAGCGAACAGACGAGGAGCUUGCUCCUCUGACGUUAGCGGCGGACGGGUGAGUAACACGUGGAUAACCUACCUAUAAGACUGGGAUAACUUCGGGAAACCGGAGCUAAUACCGGAUAAUAUAUUGAACCGCAUGGUUCAAUAGUGAAAGACGGUUUUGCUGUCACUUAUAGAUGGAUCCGCGCCGCAUUAGCUAGUUGGUAAGGUAACGGCUUACCAAGGCAACGAUGCGUAGCCGACCUGAGAGGGUGAUCGGCCACACGGGAACUGAGACACGGUCCAGACUCCUACGGGAGGCAGCAGUAGGGAAUCUUCCGCAAUGGGCGAAAGCCUGACGGAGCAACGCCGCGUGAGUGAUGAAGGUCUUCGGAUCGUAAAACUCUGUUAUUAGGGAAGAACAAAUGUGUAAGUAACUAUGCACGUCUUGACGGUACCUAAUCAGAAAGCCACGGCUAACUACGUG
rnacentral:rRNA from 1 species